rnacentral:lncRNA from 1 species
GUCCAAGCAAUGCAGCUAUAGCCCCCCCAAGUGAAUGUCCAACGAUGCGGACAUUAUAUCCAAAGCAUUCACAUCCAAAUCCCAGUAAUUUAGAAAGAAGCCCAUAGGAUUCAGUACCUGCAAGCAUUUCGUACCAUGCUCUCCAGGGUUUCCUUCAAUCUGCAUAUAAAGCUCUCGUGCAGCCUCGACUAUACCCGAAUGUCCAUAGUGGGGGAAUGAUGAAGCCACAUUUUUGUGUAUAUCAGAAUGAAUGUGGUUGCAGCUGCAAGGAGAAACUUAAAAUAUUGACACGAGAGACCAAAGUAUUGUAUUGGAAUAUGUAAAAUAUCUUUAAAAGUUUUGGGCAAAUAAUUAAUUACACAUUGGAAUCAAAAUUGUAAGACACAGAAGAGAAGAUAUGACGGUUCCAAGAUUCUCUCUGCAUAUGCAAGGAACUCAAUAGGGAUGUCAUUUGCGGUUGUCGAAGGAUGACAGACAUAAUUGAUACUUGAUAAUCACAGCAUAAUACAUGUUUGUUUUUUUCUGGUAUCUAAUACGACAUGAUUUGAGUUCCUAGUUAUGAGACCAACUGCAGAGUCAUUUGAAAACCAUAUUUCUGAUUUGACUACAAUGCCAGAGAAUAUGCAGGUGUCCUAAAAUUUGCGAUCCACUUAUUUCAAUGAAGAUAGGAUGACAACCACAGCAAUUUUGAAAGCAAUAGCUCCCUCUCGAGGAAAACUUUACGUGUGACUCUGAUAUAAUGUAUUUCCGAAUCCAUAUGGUGUAACCAUAUGGGCUCUUAAAAUGUUUAAAACGUGUGUGAAUUUAUAAACGAAUUAAUUGUGGAAUAAAAGAGGGAGAAUACAAAAUACUUUAUCAAACCAGCCAAGUCUUCUGCAGAAAGGGUGCAUUCCUUGCAUAAUC